AGAGCUGAACCAGGUCAAAGUGGAGAAUGCCACAAGGCCAUAGCCACUCAUCCUAGCGCCGCUCAGCCAACUGCUGUGCACAAGACCCGCCACUGUCGCUCAAUUCCAUCGCCACCGCUCACCGUUGCCCUGCUCCGGCCACCAUGCUGCCUGCAGAAAGCUUCCAGGUAGCCCCGUCAUGCUGUCCAAGUUUGCAAUCAAGCUCCUUGCCUCCCCCGCUUCUCUCCCCAUUUUUCCCGCGUUGCUACCCAACUCCGACGAGCCACACCGGCUGUCGUAAGCCUCGGUCCACCCCAAUGCUUACCCUAUCCACCUCGUCAUGAACACCCGAGUUUGAAUCCCUAGCCCUUACCCCUAACCCCAUCCUAUAGUCGCUGGUGUGGGGAGCUCAAGAGAGCUUCCCUGCUCCGUCACCGCGCUCCGGUACCUAGCCCAGUAGGCGCCUUGAUGUGGUGCCCAUGUGGCGGCCACGCCAGCAUCAGCCCCACACACCAGCCUCACACACAUGCCCCAUCACCACCUCGUUAGACCUCCUCCCCUCUCUGCACCUGGUGCUGUGGACCACACACUCACCCGCACCCUAGUCCACGAGCCUACCCCACCAGUCCACAACACAGUGCUAUGCCCAUGCACCUCGCUAACUGCGUCAGCCCAGCCCCACUCACAAACCGUGCAAAAAUGCUAGGUACAUCAUGCAUCGUGCACAUCAAAUAUUAUUCUACCCAAUUCUUUUCUCCAAAAAUUCCAUCAAAAUUCCUAAAAAUAAUAGAUAAAUCCAUAAACAUAUUAGAGCAAUCCAAUCCCUUUUUCCACAUCUUUAAGGUCCUAAACUAAAUGGAACCAUUUUCAGCCAAUAGGAAGUUCCCGUUAGUGUACCGCAAAUUCCUCCGUUUACAUUUCUUAGCCCCAAAAAUACCCAAUAAAUUCACAAAAAUGCUAAGAUAUAUUCAAAGAAUUUUCACAAGUUCAGAUCUUAAAACUCAUGUCCUAAACCCUCAAAACUCAGGAGCCACAUAAAUAAACCUAUAGAAACUCUAUUUUCUUUGUACUAAGAAUCAUGCUAGAUUUCCAAAUGAUUCUGAGAAACCUAGGAAAUCCUUAGCACAUUCCCAAACCCUGUAACAUAGAAACCACCAUUAAGUCAUCCUCUCACCCAUGUGCUCACAUCAAGAAACCCACAUACAAUAUAGGAGAAAUCACAUAAAAUAUAAGCAAAAUCACAUAAAAUAAAGGAGAUCACAAGAAACUUAAGAAAGGCCAUCUUAGUCCUAUCCCAUUGCCCAAACCCAUUCACAACCCUUCUUAAGUCCCUUCUAUUGAGCUUUGGAUUACUUUUGUUUGGUAAUUGAUUGCAUGCUUAUCUCUUUGAUUAUUUAGUGCCUUAAGCUCUCUCCGAGAAGCUCACGUUCCAUCUCGAAGAUUGAUUUCCAUUGUAAGGAUUUGGGUUCUCCGCUCAUCAAGAAAGGCAAGUCUUGACACCAACCCCUUAAUCAUGCUUUUAUCCUCUAUUUUGGAAUACUAAACUUUACCCAGAUAAUAAUAUGGUAUUGCAUAGUUUGAUAACCCCUUAAAUUAUAAGGUUAGGCAUAUCCCAAGAAGCAAGCCUCUUUCCC
rnacentral:lncRNA from 1 species